UUCCUACGGGAGGCAGCAGUGGGGAAUUUUGGACAAUGGGCGCAAGCCUGAUCCAGCAAUGCCGCGUGAGUGAAGAAGGCCUUCGGGUUGUAAAGCUCUUUUGUCAGGGAAGAAACGGUAGAGGCUAAUAUCCUUUGCUAAUGACGGUACCUGAAGAAUAAGCACCGGCUAACUACGUGCCAGCAGCCGCGGUAAUACGUAGGGUGCAAGCGUUAAUCGGAAUUACUGGGCGUAAAGCGUGCGCAGGCGGUUUUGUAAGUCUGACGUGAAAUCCCCGGGCUCAACCUGGGAAUUGCGUUGGAGACUGCAAGGCUAGAAUCUGGCAGAGGGGGGUAGAAUUCCACGUGUAGCAGUGAAAUGCGUAGAGAUGUGGAGGAACACCGAUGGCGAAGGCAGCCCCCUGGGUCAAGAUUGACGCUCAUGCACGAAAGCGUGGGGAGCAAACAGGAUUAGAUACCCUGGUAGUCCACGCCCUAAACGAUGUCUACUAGUUGUCGGGUUUUAAUUAACUUGGUAACGCAGCUAACGCGUGAAGUAGACCGCCUGGGAGAACGCCAUUGGCG
rnacentral:rRNA from 1 species